AUUGAACGCUAGCGGCAUGCUUUACACAUGCAAGUCGAACGGCAGCGCGGGCUUCGGCCUGGCGGCGAGUGGCGAACGGGUGAGUAAUGCAUCGGAACGUGCCCAGUAGUGGGGGAUAGCCCGGCGAAAGCCGGAUUAAUACCGCAUACGACCUGAGGGUGAAAGCGGGGGACCGAAAGGCCUCGCGCUAUUGGAGCGGCCGAUGUCGGAUUAGCUAGUUGGUGGGGUAAAGGCUUACCAAGGCGACGAUCCGUAGCUGGUCUGAGAGGACGACCAGCCACACUGGGACUGAGACACGGCCCAGACUCCUACGGGAGGCAGCAGUGGGGAAUUUUGGACAAUGGGGGCAACCCUGAUCCAGCCAUGCCGCGUGCGGGAAGAAGGCCUUCGGGUUGUAAACCGCUUUUGUUCGGGAAGAAAUCCUCUGGGCUAAUACCCCGGGGGGAUGACGGUACCGGAAGAAUAAGCACCGGCUAACUACGUG
rnacentral:rRNA from 1 species